rnacentral:tRNA from 1 species
GGUAGCGUGGCCGAGUGGUCUAAGGCGCUGGUUUUAGGCACCAGUUCUUUCGGAGACGUAGGUUCGAAUCCCACUGCUGCCA